rnacentral:rRNA from 1 species
CACGUAGGGUGCGAGCGUUGUCCGGAAUUAUUGGGCGUAAAGAGCUCGUAGGCGGUGUGUCGCGUCGGCCGUGAAAACCUGCAGCUUAACUGUGGGCGUGCGGUCGAUACGGGCAUCACUGGAGUUCGGCAGGGGAGACUGGAAUUCCUGGUGUAGCGGUGAAAUGCGCAGAUAUCAGGAGGAACACCGGUGGCGAAGGCGGGUCUCUGGGCCGUAACUGACGCUGAGGAGCGAAAGCAUGGGUAGCGAACAGG